rnacentral:rRNA from 1 species
AUACGGAGGGUGCAAGCGUUAUCCGGAUUUAUUGGGUUUAAAGGGUCCGUAGGCGGACCAAUAAGUCAGUGGUGAAAUCUUUCGGCUCAACCGGAAAACUGCCAUUGAUACUGUUGGUCUUGAAUAUGUUUGAAGUGGGCGGAAUAUGGCAUGUAGCGGUGAAAUGCAUAGAUAUGCCAUAGAACACCGAUAGCGAAGGCAGCUCACUAAGCCAUCAUUGACGCUAAUGGACGAAAGCGUGGGGCGCGAACAGGAUUAGAUACCCCUGUAGUCC